CUUCGUCUCCUCGCAGCCCAGCGACACUGUGCAGCUGGUGGUAGCAGGAUAAGGACCAGCCCUGAGACAGAGCAGAUGAGACCCCAGCUCUGCUCCCCACCGUGAUCUACCUGCGCUAGGAUUCAGGACUCCUGGUUUCUCUCCCCGGUUCAGGGAGGGGAGUGGAAUCUAAUGGGUAGAUAAGUGGGGCUGGGAGUCAGGACUCCUGGGUUCUCUACCUGGCUUGGGAUGGGAAGUGGUGUCUAGUGGUUACAGCAGGGGGGUGAGGAGGUUUUAAUGUUGUACUUUUUAGUUAUUUUCCUAAUGAUAGGUUGAUUCUCAUUAGUUGAUAACCAUGAAAACAGUUAAUUGGCAACUCAAUAGAGUCUUUACGCUAAAUCUGGUGCUUUUUCUGUUGCUAACCAUGAUGGCAAACUAUAGCUGUGCACAUUGAUUUAAGUAGUUCUAUGGAGUAAUUUACAUUUCUUUUGUCUAAUUUUUACAUUUUGAUUAUGUUGGAAAAUGGCAAAGAAUCAUUUAUUUCCUAGAUGAUGAUGAUGGUAUUUUACUUCUGAUUUGUCCAAGCUCUGUUUGGAUGGAAAUUCAAAUGCACAGAAACAGCAUUUUCAAUAUGUUUAUCAAUUAAAUAAAAUGUCAAAGUCAGA